CCCGUACCUGUUCGAAUCUCUUCCCGCAGAUACUACAGGCCUCGGGCUAGAUCUGCUCUCUAUCGUAACCUCUCCUCUCUCACCUAUCCCACCCGCUCCACACAUGUCCAGCACAACGUCACAGGAGGUCUCUGGAACUGCCAGUCAGCGACUCGCAAGGCAGACUUCAUCUCCGGCUUUGCUAUCCAGCAGUCACUUGACUUUCUCGCUCUCACCGAGACCUGGAUCACACCUGAGAACACAUCCACCCCAGCCGCUCUCUCCUCCGCCUUCUCCUUCAGCCACACUCCCAGGCUCCCUAGGUCAUUUCUUGGAAGAACUGGACAUUCUCCUGUCUAAUUUCUCUGAAAAUGAACCCCCGCUCAUCCUCCUGGGUGACUUCAACAUCCAGACAGAGAAGUCAUCUGACCUCUUACACCUACUUUCUUCUUUCGCUCUGUCACUCAGUCCCUCUCCUCCUACUCACAAAGCCGGCAAUCACCUUGACUACAUCUUUAUUAGAAACUGCUCUACCACUAACCUCUCUGUAACUCCACUUUAUGUGUCUGAUCACUUCUUCAUCUCUUACUCCCUUCCACUCUCUAUAACUAACAAACCUCCCUCAUUGACUGACUCUGUACCUGUUUGUCGCAAUAUUCGCUCCCUCUCUCCCUCCUCGCUGGCAUCCUCUGUUCUAUCAGCUCUCCCUUCAACUGAUUCCUUCUCACUCUUGCAUCCGAACGCUGCUGCACAGACUCUCCUCUCAACUCGUUCCUCCUCUCUAGACUCUCUCUGCCCUCUUACGACACGACGGACUGGCAAAUCCCCUCCGGGCCUUCUCUAUGUGGUUUUCUCCCGGUGCUCGGGUUUUCAAAAAAUGUUAUUUCAUGUUUUAUCUGUUUGUGUCAUAGGAAGCUCGCCCAUGAAUAAUCGUGUAAGUCAGCGGUCGGGAACCUAUGGCUCUUCCGGUGACUGCAUAUGGCUCCCAGUUGAAAAAAAAAAAAAAAAUCAGUUUGGAACUGAUUUUAAAAUACUUAAACAAAAAUAGACGUUUACUGUGCAUUUCAGGCUGUGUGGACAGAGGAAUUUGCACUUGUGGACAGAGCAGGAUCUGCGGUAUGUCUAAUAUGCAAUCAUAAAAUUGCAUCGAUGAAACGGUCAAAGAUAAAGCGGCACUUCGAUACGCACCAUGCUUCAUUCGCAUCGAAAUAUCCAGAGUGUCUCAUGAGUGUGCAGUGACAAUUACCGACCUGACAUCCAUCUACGGCGGCAAAUCCCUGUCAAAAUUCGAGAGCGCAAAUCGAGUUGAUGCGCGCGCGUAAAUCAAACAUCCGCGAGCAAAAGUUUGUCCCCCGCGAGAUACUUGCUCGCUUGCGGAACGUGAACUUUGUUGCUCGCGAGGUUAACCUCUGCUCGUGCUCGAAGGUGUUUUCUAUGGUUGCUUAUGCUUAUGAAGUCACAUAAGCAUUAUCAGAAACAAACAACAGACAGGUUGAGCAGACACAUUUUGACCAGAAAAUACCCAGGGCCCAAUAGGUGUAUGUAACCACCCCCACACAAAAGCAUCUAUUUAGGUAUUUGGGGGAAUUUUUAAACAACUUUGUUGCAGUACGUGGUUACAGAGAGUUUUAGAUACUCUUGUCUACAAGGAUCCUAUUUUGCCACCCUGAGCGACGAUGGAACACCUUGGUGGUGAGUAGUGUGUUUUAUUGUUGAUUACGUGUUUUAGUAAAACAAGCAUUAUACUUACAAGUAUAUAUUCAUUAAGGUUUCUCAACGAUAUGACAGUCCAGAGGGGGGUUAACCAUCUAAAGCAUCGAUGAGGU
ensembl:lncRNA